AAUUCAUAUUCCCAUUGAAAAACCCAACAGCCAGGCGGCUGGGUUUCUUUGGUAAUCCAACAGACCCUUGCUAUUUGUUAUUUUAGUUUCUUUUUUUCAUUUUUUUGUUCCAAUCUAGUAGGGUUUAUAUAUUUAGGUUGUUAUUUAAAUGAUAACUAACCAUGAGUGGUCUGGUGGAGAAGGGUAGUAUCAUAGUCUUGAGUGGGGUGGGUUCAAUACUCAUGUGUGGCAUUUUUUGGCAUUUUAUUUCUUUUAGCUAUUUUAUUUUCUUUUAGCAUUUUCAUUUCUUUUAUGUUUAUGCCUUUAUUAUACUCAUAGUUUCAUUUGUUAAUAAUGCAAAUUUGUUUUCUCUUAAUUUCACCAUUCAUUCAAAACCAUUUUUAAACUUAUAAAAAUCAUAUUUUUCUCGAUUUAAUAUCGAGCCCAUUUUCACACCCUUGUAAGUCGAUUGCUUUUUAAGCAUCGCCAUCAACCUCACAUAGCUUACUC
rnacentral:lncRNA from 1 species